UCGGCGGGGACGGGCGGGCGGGUGGGGACGGGCUGGGGCGGAGGCGCCGGGACCCUCGGAGCUGCCGCGGCCGCCGCCCUGGCCGCGCUAGGCGCCCGCUCCGGGCCCCACCGAGCCGGCGGCGGCCGUGCGGGGGGACAGGCGCGCUGCCUCCGCCCGGGAUGCUGCGCGGCGCAUCUGCGGCAUUUCCCGGCCGCCGCGCCGCAGACACUCGCCCGGGAGAGAGGGAGGGAGGGAGGGCGGGCGGAGUGGAGAGGGAGGGAGGGAGGAGGGCGAGCCCGCAGGUCAGCACCCCGGCUGGCUGGGCUCCGGCCCGGCGCCGGCGGCCCCUCCCUGCGAGGCUGAGCCGCGCGCCCCGGACCCCCCUCUCCUGGCUGCACCGCGCGGCCAAGCCCGCCCACCCCCGGACACUGGCCGGCCGCCCCGGAUCCCCAAGGGCGAGGUUUCUAUUUGGGACCCACAACAGUGUUGUGAAUCUGGACCAUUUUCCUUCCAUUAACUCUUAGAAGUAGGCAAAUUCCAGGGUAACGUGUCCCCAGGAGCUGGAGAUGCGGAGCCAGAUUUCUGGCUGAAAUCAUCCUCAUCGGAAAAAUCCGCAGAGGAAGACAUCGAGCAGCGGUAGGACGCGUUCCCGGAACUCUGGGGAGGAUGACACAGA